GGAGUUACAAAAGAAAGUUAUAAAUGAAGCGGUCUGGAAAGGCCCGCCAAAGACGGUAACAGCCCGGUAGUUGAAAUGGCUUUCCCUCCAGAGUGGAUCCUGAGUACGGCGGAACACGUGAAAUUCCGUCGGAAUCCGGGAGGACCAUCUCCCAAGGCUAAAUACUCCCUAGUGACCGAUAGUGAACCAGUACCGUGAGGGAAAGGUGAAAAGCACCCCGGAAGGGGAGUGAAACAGUUCCUGAAACCGUGUGCCUACAAGUAGUUAGAGCCCGUUAAUGGGUGAUAGCGUGCCUUUUGUAGAAUGAACCGGCGAGUUACGAUUUGUUGCAAGGUUAAGCGGAAAAAGCGGAGCCGUAGCGAAAGCGAGUCUGAAUAGGGCGCAUAAGUAACAGGUCGUAGACCCGAAACCAGGUGAUCUACCCAUGUCCAGGAUGAAGGUAAGGUAAUACUUACUGGAGGUCCGAACCCACGCACGUUGAAAAGUGCGGGGAUGAGGUGUGGGUAGCGGAGAAAUUCCAAUCGAACUUGGAGAUAGCUGGUUCUCUCCGAAAUAGCUUUAGGGCUAGCCUCGAGGUAAAGAGUCAUGGAGGUAGAGCACUGUUUGGACUAGGGGCCCUUCUCGGGUUACCGAAUUCAGAUAAACUCCGAAUGCCAUGUACUUAUACUCGGGAGUCAGACUGCGAGUGAUAAGAUCCGUAGUCGAAAGGGAAACAGCCCAGACCACCAGUUAAGGUCCCCAAAUAUAUGUUAAGUGGAAAAGGAUGUGGGGUUGCUUAGACAACCAGGAUGUUGGCUUAGAAGCAGCCACCAUUGAAAGAGUGCGUAAUAGCUCACUGGUCGAGUGACCCCGCGCCGAAAAUGUACCGGGGCUAAACAUAUUACCGAAACUGUGGAUGAACCUCUUUAGAGGUUCGUGGUAGGAGAGCGUUCUAAGGGCGGUGAAGUCAGACCGGAAGGACUGGUGGAGCGCUUAGAAGUGAGAAUGCCGGUAUGAGUAGCGAAAGAAGGGUGAGAAUCCCUUCCACCGAAUAUCUAAGGUUUCCUGAGGAAGGCUCGUCCGCUCAGGGUUAGUCGGGACCUAAGCCGAGGCCGAUAGGCGUAGGCGAUGGACAACAGGUAGAGAUUCCUGUACCAGUGCUAAUUGUUUAACCGAUGGGGUGACACAGAAGGAUAGGGAAUCGCACGAAUGGAAAUGUGCGUCCAAGCAGUGAGUGUGAGAAGUAGGCAAAUCCGCUUCUCGCGAAGCAUGAGCUGUGAUGGGGAAGGAAAUUAAGUACGGAAGUUCCUGAUUUCACGCUGUCAAGAAAAGCCUCUAGGAAGAGUAGUACUGCCCGUACCGCAAACCGACACAGGUAGAUGAGGAGAGAAUCCUAAGGUGAGCGAGAGAACUCUCGUUAAGGAACUCGGCAAAAUGACCCCGUAACUUCGGGAGAAGGGGUGCUCUAUUAGGGUGCAAGCCCGAGAGAGCCGCAGUGAAUAGGCCCAGGCGACUGUUUAGCAAAAACACAGGUCUCUGCAAAACCGUAAGGUGACGUAUAGGGGCUGACGCCUGCCCGGUGCUGGAAGGUUAAGAGGAGUGCUUAGCUUCGGCGAAGGUACGAAUUGAAGCCCCAGUAAACGGCGGCCGUAACUAUAACGGUCCUAAGGUAGCGAAAUUCCUUGUCGGGUAAGUUCCGACCCGCACGAAAGGCGCAACGAUCUGGGCACUGUCUCAACGAGAGACUCGGUGAAAUUAUAGUACCUGUGAAGAUGCAGGUUACCCGCGACAGGACGGAAAGACCCCGUGGAGCUUUACUGCAACCUGAUAUGGAAUGUUUGUACCGCUUGUACAGGAUAGGUAGGAGCCGAAGAGACGUGUGCGCUAGCAUACGAGGAGGCAAUGGUGGGAUACUACCCUGGCUGUAUGACCAUUCUAACCCGCCACGCUUAGCGCGUGGGGAGACAGUGUCAGGUGGGCAGUUUGACUGGGGCGGUCGCCUCCUAAAGAGUAACGGAGGCGCCCAAAGGUUCCCUCAGAAUGGAUGGAAAUCAUUCGCAGAGUGUAAAGGCACAAGGGAGCUUGACUGCGAGACUGACAAGUCGAGCAGGGACGAAAGUCGGGCUUAGUGAUCCGGUGGUUCCGCAUGGAAGGGCCAUCGCUCAACGGAUAAAAGCUACCCCGGGGAUAACAGGCUUAUCUCCCCCAAGAGUCCACAUCGACGGGGAGGUUUGGCACCUCGAUGUCGGCUCGUCGCAUCCUGGGGCUGUAGUCGGUCCCAAGGGUUGGGCUGUUCGCCCAUUAA
rnacentral:rRNA from 1 species